GGGUGAAGUGUCCUGAAAAGGGAAAGAAAGCAGAGGCUUAGGCACCAAAAUAGGACUUCCAAAUAUUUUUCCAUUUGCAGAGCAGCAGAACCUGGAAGGAAAAGCCCCAUCCCAACCUCUCCAAGGCCAGUGGGGUGAAGGAUCCACUCACUGUCCCAACUGAAGAAGGAGACGGAGGACAUUGUCCCCAUAUCCCAAAAAAAACCCAACAAAAGCUUUUCAGAGUGUUUCUCCCUGCUUGAAUAAGGUUCUCAAACAUCAAAUUUCACCUUUCCAUG
rnacentral:lncRNA from 1 species